AACGAACGCUGGCGGCAUGCCUAACACAUGCAAGUCGAACGAGGCCUUCGGGCUUAGUGGCGCACGGGUGCGUAACGCGUGGGAAUCUGCCCUUGGGUUCGGAAUAACAGUUAGAAAUGACUGCUAAUACCGGAUGAUGUCUUCGGACCAAAGAUUUAUCGCCCAAGGAUGAGCCCGCGUAGGAUUAGGUAGUUGGUGGGGUAAUGGCCCACCAAGCCGACGAUCCUUAGCUGGUCUGAGAGGAUGAUCAGCCACACUGGGACUGAGACACGGCCCAGACUCCUACGGGGAGGCAGCAGUGGGGAAUAUUGGACAAUGGGCGAAAGCCUGAUCCGGCAAUGCCGCGUGAGUGAUGAAGGCCUUAGGGUUGUAAAGCUCUUUUACCAGGGAUGAUAAUGACAGUACCUGGAGAAUAAGCUCCGGCUAACUCCGUGCCAGCCGCCGCAGUAA
rnacentral:rRNA from 1 species